rnacentral:lncRNA from 1 species
ACCACCUUAUUUGGAUGGCAAAUCUGAUGCAGAGUGAAAGAAAAUGUGGGAGAUUGCUAAGGGUGCCUUUGGUUAUACUUUUUGAUUUUAAAAAAAAAUAUAUAUAUAUAUAUUUUGAUUUUUGCUAUUGAGUAAAAGUAAAAAAGUAAAAAAUAUGUUUGGUAACUAUGUUGCUAUAAAGCAAAAAGUAAUAUUUGGAGAUGGC